UGAGGAAUAUUGGUCAAUGGGCGAGAGCCUGAACCAGCCAAGUCGCGUGAAGGAAGACGGCCCUAUGGGUUGUAAACUUCUUUUGUAAGGGAAUAAAAAGCGUUACGUGUAGCGUCUUGUAGGUACCUUACGAAUAAGGAUCGGCUAACUCCGUGCCAGCAGCCGCGGUAAUACGGAGGAUCCGAGCGUUAUCCGGAUUUAUUGGGUUUAAAGGGUGCGUAGGCGGGAAUACAAGUCAGUGGUGAAAGUUUGCAGCUUAACUGUAAAAUUGCCAUUGAAACUGUAUUUCUUGAGUACAGAAGAGGUAAGCGGAAUGUGUAGUGUAGCGGUGAAAUGCAUAGAUAUUACACAGAACACCGAUAGCGAAGGCAGCUUACUGGUAUGUAACUGACGCUGAGGCACGAAAGCGUGGGGAUCAAACAGG
rnacentral:rRNA from 1 species